GACAGAUUUAUUGCGACAGGGAAUACAUUUUCUCUGGGCAUGGUAAUAAUGUAUGGACAGCUGUGGUAAUUUAACAGCUGACAAAGUUUUUUUAUCGGGGACUUGUACUCGUAUGUGGGUAAAGAUAAACACGCAUUCAUGGAUGACUCCACCACGGAUUGAAUUGAGACACAACAAUGCUGACAGCUAAAUUAGGAUUGAUUUUGGUGGUGCUUCUUGUCACAGCUCUUCAGGGUGGAAGAGCUACAGAAUGUGAGAGAAACAUUUCAAAUAUUUUCACUGAGUUGGAACAGGAAGCCAAGAACAAACAAGGCAGUAUGACAGCCAGUGAUGUGUAUCAGGUCAUGUCUGAGUGGAUACAUUUCGGUCCUGGGAAUGUCACGGACCAGUGUCUCCAUCAAGGUGACAAUACUACAGACUGUAUACUCAACAAGUGCCUGACAUUUCAAGAUAUUCUUCAUCUUCAUGACUUGAAUUCCACCUCAACAAUCUCACAAGAUGACCUACAACAGUUGUCUCCCUUCCUUUCCAACAUUCUCCAAGCCAAAUCUUGUAAUAGUAUGCCUUUGAAGGAGGGUACUGGAGAAAGCCACGAAGGCAAACCACAAAUGUUAAAAGCAUGGGGCUAUGGAUUUUUAUUUGUUACAAUCAUCAACAUUUGUUCCCUUGCUGGGGCUAUGGUUCUGCCCUUUAUGAAAAAGACUGUGUAUAAACAGCUUCUGAUUUUCAUGAUCGGUUUGGCUGUUGGUUGUCUGGCUGCCAAUGGACUCCUUGUGCUCAUACCAGAGGCGCUGGGACUGAUGUACAUAAACGAUCAUGAAGUCAGCUGGAACUAUGUGUGGAAAACUACGACAGUCCUUGGUGGAAUCUAUCUCUUCUUCCUCAUUGAACGCUUCCUCAAGAUGAUCCUGGGAUGGAGAGAGAGAAGGAACAAGAAUAGAUACCAGUCUGAUGGUGCUGAUGACGACGAAGAUAUGUACUCUUCCAUCAAGUCGAAAACGCCUAUCACAACGACCCAGCGUUACAAAAACCCCAAGAACCUACCCACAGGUCUGCCAACAUCCAACAGUGAGACGCCACUCACGGAUGACAGCUCCCAGGAUAACGUUCUGUCUAUCAAUGUCAUUGAGAUAAAACCUCAGAAUGGCGGAACAGCUCAUGCUGAACGUCCAAUUGCCACUGUGGCGUGGAUGAUCAUAUUCGGCGAUGGAAUCCAUAACUUUAUAGACGGUUUGUCCAUCGGAGCUGCUUUUACAGAGAGUAUUCUGGCGGGCAUCAGCAUAUCUCUAGCCAUCAUUUGUGAGGAGCUUCCACAUGAGCUAGGAGACUUCGCUAUAUUAAUCAAUGCGGGAAUGAGCAUGAAGAAGGCCCUGAUGUACAACUUCCUGUCUGCAUGCAUGUGCUACCUCGGCCUGAUAGUGGGUACUCUGUUGGGGGAAAACACGACUGCACAUGACUGGAUCUUUGCUAUAGCUGGAGGAAUGUUCCUCUACAUCUCACUUGUCGAUAUGAUGCCGGAGAUGAACAGUGAAGCGGAGAACAAAGAAAACAAGAGGAUUAUUGGGACUGCGCGGAUAUUUCUACUCCAGAAUGUUGGCAUGAUUCUUGGAUUUGUCAUCAUACUCUUGAUGACUUUAUACGGAUCAGAAAUUAAUUUUGAGCAAUAAGGAGCAUGACACAGUAGCUUACACUUAAAUUCUGGGCUAAAAUGUAAAUCAAAAUUUGCUUCAUUAUAAAAUACAAUUACGCAAAAAAAGAGAGAAAAAAGAUUCACUGGCUAAUGAAAUUUAAAUUUCUAGAAUUAAAUUCAUUGAUUAAUCAAUUACUGCUUUUUUCGAAUUGUAUAUAAUUACAUAGGGUAAUAGCCAGAUUAUUUUAUUCUAUAGCUAGACAUAUAUUUUCAGAGUAGAUAUUACCCGGUAACAAAUUAAAAAUUUCUUGAGCCCUGAACAAAAUCUAAAAACUAUUAAAACACAGGUAUCAGGAUCAUUUGAUUCUAUACAUUGUUGCUCUUUACAAAUAUCCAAAUUAAAAGAAAAAUCAACAGAAUCACUUGUAUUUAAAAAACAUGUUUUUGGACUUUAAAGGCAUGUGAUCUAAAAUUUUUCCUCUUAAAAAAAUUGGCUAAUGCAAUUCAUACAUACAGAAUGUAUAACUAUUGUUUUUGAAAAAAACAUAACAAAGUUUCUUUUACCUUGAAUAUUACGUGAGAAAUUUGUAUGUUGAAAAUCGGCAGGUAAUUAAUAUUGGUACGAAGAAAACAAUAUCUCCUUAAUUACAAUUUUGAAGGUGAAAACAAAACCAUAUAAGUUUUUUUUUUAAUUCAUUGAUUCAUCUUGAGGUUUGUUUCUGUGAAAACCGGACUUAAAUUUACAAUGUUUUAACUUAAGUUUUAAACUGAAUAGGUAAACUGAUACAUGUAUAUUUAUACUAGAUUUACCUGAUAAUGAACCCUUAAUUCAAAUGUUGUAGGACAAUUUAUAACUGUGUCUUAGUAUUAAUUAUGCAUGUACAUAUCAGUAUUGGGAGUACUUAGUAAAAGAGGGUAAAAAAUUUAAGUUUUUUUUUAUCACAGUUAUUAAAGGUUUUUUCCUGGUAUGCAUUUGAAUGGGAAGUUUUAAGAUAUAUAGAUUUGAAAAAAUACCUGGUAUGUAAAAUUGAUCAUGGAAUGUCCAUACACUACCAUCCAUAAAAAUCUAUACACACUCUUUUGACUUGUUGAAGUAUUAUAAGUGAAUCAGAAACUUUUAACUUUUCACUUCCAGUUCCUGGAAGAUUACUGGGGGUAUUCAUUUGUCUGUGACAAUGGCAAUUCCUCAAGAGUAUAACUGAUCUUGAUGAAGUUUCAUGUGGGUCAAGGGAGGACUAAUUUUCCGAAAUUUUCUGAAAAUGUAUGAUUGUUUUUAUAAAGAUGCAUGGCCAAUCAACCCUUCAAUGAUAAUGUUAUCAUAUUAUACAAAUUGUAUUGGAGCCUUAUGGAUGGCAGUGUAUAACCAAAUAUUCCAAAGUGGGCGUGACAAUUUUUUUAUGUGUUAUUGUUUACUUACUUGUGUCUGUAUAAUUUAUAUGUAAUACUAGAUAGUUGUUUCUUUAAAUUUUGUUGUUAAUAUAUUUCAAAGAAUUUUUUUCACAGUUUAAAUAAGCAUUUUUAGGUUAUUACACAAAUUUGGAUUUUUUUUUCUAUUUUUUUUUUAUGGUUUUGUUUCUAUCAUUUUAGACAAAGAGUGUCUAUUCCUGUUCUUAGGACUGGCAAAUAUUUCUACUGCAUAUGUUUCAAUAGGGAUAUUGUGAUUGUAAAAAAUCAUCGAACAAUUUUAAAAAUAAAAUUAAAAAAAAUGCACUAGAUUUGUAUUAGCCUGCUUAAGUUGGAGUGUUAAAAGUUAACUCCUCAUCAUUAUAAGAAUUUGUUUUACAAUGAUCAAUUAGCCAAUCACGAUAUUUGCCAGUAUAGGAAAUAGCAUACACAAAUUUCAAUUAGCAUAAAAUCAUAAUUAAGUGAUACAUUAAAAACACUAAGAUGACUACUAAGUCAUGUAAUGUACAGCAAUAGAAUAAUGGAGGGAAUUCAUUAACAGUGUUAUGUACCCCUGAUAUAUGAUAAAGAUCAUUCAUUGGCCAAGGUCAGUCAUGAGGAGUAGGAGAUUACAGUGUGUCAGUAAGAAUGCUUAAAGUCUUGUUAUGAUGUCAAACUUUCAUGAAUUCACUGAUGGAACAAUUGGUUUGGCAUCAAUUUAGACACUAAGCUAAUAUUAAGUUUUUUUGGCUUAGUGGAAAAAAAGCAAUUGGUUUUCCUUGGUCUCUGUAUAAAUUUUCCCAGUGUACACAAAAUGUAAAUAUUUAUAUAUUAUUUUAAUAGUGGGGUAUGAUCAUGGACAAAAAUACAGAUCUUCUAUGUGGGCAAAAAUACAGCUAGAUCUCGCAUGUAGACAAAAUACAGAUUUCACAUGUAGACAAAAUACAGAUCUUGCAUCUAGACAAAAUACAGAUCUCACAUCUGGGAGAAACACAGAUCUCACAUUGGACAAAAUACAGAUCUCACAUCUGGGAGAAACACAGAUCUCACAUGUACACAAAAUACAGAUCUCACAUCUGGGAGAAACACAGAUCUCACAUUGGACAAAAUACAGAUCUCACAUGUGGACAAAAUACAGAUCUCACAUGUGGACAAAAUACAGAUCUCACAUGUGGACAAAAUACAGAUCUCACAUGUGGACAAAAUACAGAUCUCACAUGUGGACAAAAUACAGAUCUCACAUGUACACAAAAUACAGAUCUCACAUCUGGGAGAAACACAGAUCUCACAUUGGACAAAAUACAGAUCUCACAUGUGGACAAAAUACAGAUCUCACAUGUGGACAAAAUACAGAUCUCACAUGUACACAAAAUACAGAUCUCACAUGUACACAAAAUACAGAUCUCACAUGUACACAAAAUACAGAUCUCACAUCUGGGAGAAACACAGAUCUCACAUUGGACAAAAUACAGAUCUCACAUGUGGACAAAAUACAGAUCUCACAUGUGGACAAAAUACAGAUCUCACAUGUAGACAAAAUACAGAUCUCACAUGUAGACAAAAUACAGAUCUCACACGUGGGGAAAAUACAGAUCUCACAUGUAGACAAAAUACAGAUCUCACAUGUAGACAAAAUGCAGAUCUCACACCUGGGGAAAAUACAGAUCUCACAUGUGGACAAAAUACAGAUCUGACAUGUGGACAAAAUACAGAUCUCACAUGUAGACAAAAUACAGAUCUCACAUGUGGACAAAAUACAGAUCUCACACGUGGGGAAAAUAUACCAAAAUUUUGCUUGUGGUCAGAAAUACAGCUAGAUCUCACUGGGCAAAAAUAUUGAUCUUGUGUAUAUAGAUACCAAGUUUUACCGAAAUAUUAUACCUUUGUAAUUGUUUUAUUUUAAAUAGUCAGGUUUGUUUUUUUCUACAAUUCAACUUUUGAGCUUUCAUGAUUAAUUAUGCAGCAGUUUUACUAAGUUAAAAAUUAUUUUUUGUUUAACAGAGAAAAGUUUUCUUUUCUUUUUUUUCAUUUGUUUACUUUUCUUUUUAUUGAUGGUAGCUAAUUAUAAUGAAAUGAUUCAGUGUUGGGUCAUUUUAAUAGUUUUAAGGAACAUUUUCACAAGCUUAAUCUUGACUUCUAACCACAUUAAAUCUAUUUUGCUGUCAAUGAUGUGAAUUCAAACGUUAAAAUACAAGAAACUUUGUGCUUCCCUAUGAGGCAUGCAUAUAGUCACCAAUUUAUAUCUUUGUCCACAGACCAAAUCUACUAGCGCAAGGCCAUAAAUUGACCUGGGAUUUUUCUGUCUUUGUUAAGGAAUUAAAUAUAAUUCACAAAGCAGAUACGUAUAAGGUAAGGUGAUUUACAGUAAAUCAAGGCACAUUCCAAAAUUUCUGUGAAAAAUACAUAAUUUUUGUUGUAAACUUUAACCUAUAACAACAUUCAUCAAAUUCAUUCUUCUAUUCUAGCUUUAAGAUACCAUGUCACAAAAUUUGUUUCUGUCAUCAUCAGAUUAGACUUAUGGUACAUAGCUGAUAAAGCUUAUACAUUGGUUCCAAUGCUGGGUGGAAUUUUACUGGUUAUUUCUGUUCUUUGUUGGAAGUUUUACUUCAAGUUCAGGUACUUUUAUGAGAAUGGUCAUUUUCAGAAGAAAUGGAGCAAGAUCAAAGAUAAAUCUGUUACCCACCCCCCCCACCCACCCACUGUAUGGUAAAAGAGAACCAUUGAAUUGAGUAUACAGACUUUUAUAUAACCAAUUCCAUAUUGUGUUGUAUUGUCCCACCUAUUAUAAACCACUUGGAAUAGUAGUUGUGCAUCUUUUGUAACAUGAUGCAGGGGAGAAAGCUUGUAGGUGCCUAGUUGGACACUCCCUACCCUGGCAAGCAAUGCUAUAUAUAUAUAUUAAUGAUUAUAUGUUCCAUAUUCUGUGCCUUAAUAAAAAGUCAUAGACUUACCAGUUCUGUUGCCAAUACUAAGAUUGAUAUCACUAAUCACUGCUCCUUCCCUAACCUCUGAAACAUGUCAACUUUGGUAAUUCUUUACUGUAGAGUGUUUCAGUAAUGAUCAACUCACCCAAUGUUUUUGCAAUGAAAUAAUGUUUGUUGUACCAGUACCGUUUUAUCCACAAAUAAGCUCCUGCAUGACCACAAAUAAACCCACUUCAGUUUCGCAGAUUCAUCAAUUUUAAAAUGGUAAGCUAACAGUGGCUCACAAAUAAGCCCUCUCCGAGCUUUUAAUACUUAAUCUUUACACGAGUGGUUUACAUGAGGGGAGGGGCUUAUUUGAGGAUAAAUACAGACUGAAUUUUACACAAGAGGAGGGGGCUAAUCUGUGGAUAAAUGUGGUACUAAACUUUAACACCAGGGGUGGGGACUGAUUUUAGUAUAAAUACAGCACUUAAUUAACAUUUACACGAGGAGUGGGGACUGAUUUUAGUAUAAAUACAGCACUAAACUUUUACACGAGGAGUGGGGACUGAUUUUAGUAUAAAUACAGCACUAAACUUUUACACGAGGAGUGGGGACUGAUUUUAGUAUAAAUACAGCACUAAACUUUUACACGAGGAGUGGGGACUGAUUUUAGUAUAAAUACAGCACUAAACUUUUACACAAGGAGUGGGGACUGAUUUUAGUAUAAAUACAGCACUAAACUUUUAUACGAGGAGUGGGGACUGAUUUUAGUAUAAAUUCAGCACUUAACAUUUACACGAGGGGUUAGGGCUAAUUUAAGAAUAGAUAAGUUACUAGAUGGCGCUGCCAUGUUGUCAUUGAUGACAGACAGUAAACAAAAUAGUUCGGAAAUUAAAUACUGAAAUCAACAUGUUUUACAAUACAGCUGUACUUAUCAAAAUAUUUAGACUUUUAUUUUUAUGAAUUGACAAACUCAUCAUUAAUAUAUAUUUCUUUGACUGUUUUGCAUAAAAUCAUAAUUUACCGCAGUGACUGUACAGUUAUACUUUGACAAGUGCGUAACGAGGGCGGCCGCUAUCGAUGCGCAAGCCUAUUCACCAUUUGUAAUUAUUGAAAAUUAAUAACACUGGACUUGAUAAGCCUCAUCUAGUGACAAUACAAUGCCAGUGUUAAACAUAUAUUUUAUUACGAAUCUCACUGCAAGGUUUGCUUUUAUUCUAAACUGUUGCCUUGUUUUUCUUAUUGCACAAUUAAACAGUAUCAUUUAAAGGAGGCAUUAAAAUAAGUUUGUAAAGAUGACAACUUAUUUAUAUAACCUCCAUAAAUAUUGAUCUGUUAUUAAUAUUUUUUAUUACAAUAUUUUGAAGCUAUUCACGUUUUGUAACCAUUGGAUAAGAAUUAUUUAUAAUUUAUAAUUGGGAUUUUUUUAUUAUUCCAUGACAUAGGACUUUAUAAACUCGUACAUUCUAGCUGAAAUAUAUUUAAACUGGAUUAGUGACUUUUUGUGUAUUUUUAUGUUUAUGAUUGUAUGAUAUGAUAUAUCUCGUUGAUACAUGUACUGCAUUUAUCCUACUAAAGCUACCUGUGCUCUGACAAUCUCAAGCUGGUGUAGAAGGGCAGGCUUGCUUCACUAUUGAUUUGAUUUAAUUUGAACUUUUAUGGAAGUAUUUCGGCCAAGGAUAUUUUUGAUCCACCUUCAUUUAUGGAAGCUUAAAAGAAUCUGUUCUUGAAUUAUAUAAAAUACUUGUUAAUUGAAAAAAUUGAAGUCAUUGAAAAAGCAAUAUAUAUAAAAAAAAAAACCCAUAUAUUUUGUUCAUUUAAGUAAAAGAAUGAGUCAACCAUGCCAAAGUAGCCUUGUUUGUCUACUAGACUUCAAUUAACAUGAGUGCAUGGUCCAAAUACCAGACAGGUGUAAUGAAGAAUGAAUAUAGCUCAUAGCGGAUCACACAUGAUUGGCUAUGCAAUACGGAUUUAUUAAUCAAGUUCAAUAAUUCGAUGUUAUACAAUCAUUUAAUGAGUUUAAUAAAUUCCAUAUUACUUGGCCACAAGUGUAAGAUUCUGUUUAUCACAAAACUUGUAUUUAUGGAAAGAUAAUUCAAAACUUUCAAAUUUAUAUAUAAAACAGACAGAUUUCAUCUUGGAUGGUACAAUUUUCGCUGCAGACCAUUGUGGCAUACACAGAUUCAUGGUGACGUCAUGAAGUAUAUUUGACAUCACAGGAGUGUUAUUACGACAUGUACGUGUCUUAUAUUUAUAAUAAGGCCGUAUGACAUGUUAGAACAGGUCAGUUAUGGGAUAUAUGUUUCUCUUCAAUGAUAGCGAUAUCUAUCAUUAAACUUUUGUACAAUCAUAUCACUAUAGUAACAAUCACAUACCAAUGUUAAUGUAUUAUUGUAUACAGAACUAAGACCAAGAAUUGCAAUUUGUGUUGAUAUAUUUGUAGAUUUUUUCCCUUGCCAUAUAUUCAAAUUGUUUUGAAUCAUUUAAUAUUUUGUUAUUGGUGUAAUUGUGUCAGUACAGAAUCAAUUGUAUAAUAGUAUAUGUAUUUAGUGGGUGAAUCCGUAAGGUGUUACAGUAAUUGUAUGUCAGCUUCUGUGAUCUCAUGGAAAUGUGUAAGUAUUCAACACAUAUACAUCAUUCAUUCUCAAUUAAUGCAUGUAGAUCAUUAUUGAUUUCAUUUGAGAUAGAUGCAAUUGUUCCUCAACCUUAUGAAGAUGGUUAUCUUUAAACCCAGGGUCUCAACCAUUUGAAGGUUGAUAAGUUAUUGAAGUAACAUCAAAGAAGGUUAGUAAUUGUUUGAUUGUACGAGUCUCAUUAUAGUAGAUCAUGUGUGAAAGACUUGACCGUUAAUGUGACAUUUUAAAUGACAAUGUGUCCACCGAAUGAUGGAAUAUGGUGUUUAAAACUUUUAUGUUAAAAAAACCCCUUAUAAGUCAAAUGUUAUAUUCUAACAUAAUUGCAAGAAUAUUUAAUGGUGUGCUAAUCAUAAUGAUAAAAACAAUGUAUUAACUUCGACAAGCUAUCCCAAGGCCAAUAUUUACUGGUUACAUAUUAUAUCAGAAAUUUGGCUUUGACAAAAGUCCACGACUUCGUCAAAUUCAGCAAAGCAGAUUUUAGCCAUUCAGAUUGUAAGAAAUUAAAAUAAAACAUUUUCACCGGAUUGAAAAGAUUUUUAAGAAAAAAUAUAUGUUUAAUGUUUCAAAAUUUGAAUAUAAAAAUUAAGGAUUUUCCAUUAAUUAAAAAAAAAAAAAACUAUCAAAUUUGUCACCCCUUUCAAUGAAAAAUUUACAGUAUUCUUAGAAGAACUUGCCUCAAUUGCUAAUAUACAUUAUGUAGAUGCAUAUAUCUUGGAUGUCUAUACAUGAUCUGAUUGGAGGGUAAUGGUAACUAUUGUAGUAUUUCAGGUUGAUACAAAAGGUUAUAUAUGUACAUGUAUGAAAGGGUCGUGUGGACUCUGAUAUAAAAUAAUUUACCCCGGCUGUGGUAAUGUAAUGUUGAUGGUCGUUUCUAUAUUAUAUAAGAUAGAUAUAAAUAAAUGAUGGCACUAAAUGAAUCUCAAUGUAUAAUCUUGGUAGAAAUAAUUUUGUAUUUCAUUGUGAGGAUAUUGAUAAAGCUAAUUAAUGCAACGUGUACGUAAUAUGUUACUAUUUAUAGAUUGUCGAAAUUUAUAGAUUGUCGAGAUCCUUACACAUGUGAUGAAUUGUACGAAACUGAUGGGUCUAUUGACAUAGGUGCUAUUUGGUAAAGUAAUUGAAUUGACAACUGCUUGGGUUUUCUGGACAGUGUGAUAAAAACAGUUUUUCUAGAUAUGUACUUUUUUGCUAGAUAUUGUAACUGAAUGAGGCAAAAUCAACUUCCUGUUUAAUGACAGUUUGAUCAUUGGGUUUGGUAAAAUGUCAAAUUCCAUUUAAUUCAAAUUUGGUCUUAAGGUGUACACAAAUUUAUUAUUCUUUUUGCCUUUUUGCAAUAGUGUAACUAUGUAGUAAAAGUACUGUUUAAGGGAAUUUAAAUACAAAUUCAGGCAGUAGGGAAAGUAUCUUUGACAAACCUGAUUCCUUAAUAAUAUUUGUACAUGUAUUAAUUUUGCAGUGGCAAUUGAAUGUUUUGUUUAGAUGCAUUAGAUGCAAUUUUGGAGGUACUGGCAAUGCCAUGAUUCACACAAAGUGUAGAAAUUGGAAUUAUGCAAGAGUAAUAAAAUGGAUUGUAUGAUAAUAUGGAAAAGUAUAGUUUGAAACAUUUAGUGUUUGAAAUGAGAUAUUCACAUUGUGAGGGUUUCUGUAAAUUUUGUAGAUACAGACCAUAAUUUUAAUAGCCAUUUUGCUUUGUUGUGCUUUUCGUGAGGUGAAAUGAGACGCCAGGAUCAUGUCUGCUAGCUAGGUCUUCGCAAAUGAAUAUACAAAACCAUAUGUUGUUUCAAUAUUUGGUAUAUAUACAUGUAUAUGCAAUACACUGUGUAUAUAUAUUUCCUACAUAUGUAUGUCAAACAUACACAUAUAUAUUUGUAUACCACGCUGAUGAUAUUAUAACAUAUUUGUGCCUUUUGCACUGGAUUCUAAUAUACUAGUACUUACAUAUGUCUACUGCACAUGGAAAUACCAGGUGCUGUUCCCAAGCUUGCCUAUAGCUCUGUACUACAUACCUUCCAAAACAUUUGAUAUCCUAACUACAGUGAUUCUGUAGCCUUGUAGAACAAUACAAUAUCAAAACAAACAUAAUACAUCAAUCAUAUAUGGUUGUGUUUGAAAAAAAUCAAAAAACAAAAACCCAGGUCUGUAUCUAUAAAUCAGCACAGCAAUAAGAUAUGUCUGACAGAAUCAACAGUUGUUACACGACUGUGUGAUCGCCAUAUUUGUAUACCAAUCACAAGACAAUUGUUGUGGGUUUGAAUGUUUUGUUGUGGAGAUUUUGUAAUGCUUUUUGAUUUCUAAGGACGGAUAUAUACUGAUUUAUACUAACAACAUACCUCUGGAGACACAAAGUAGAAUGAGCACAUUUAGCUUUAAAAGGGUUCGAUCAUGGACAUUUAUUAUUUUAUACAAGUCUGUGGUUCGAUUAAUGUGUCUUUUAACAUGGUUUUCUGAAGGCAAGACCUUGAAUGAAAAAAGAAGUGCAGGUUUUGAAAUAAAGGAAAAAUAGAACUCAAUGAAAGAAAGUAUAGAUUUUGAAAUAAAGGAAGAACAUUGAAUGAAAGAAAGAAGUACAGAUUAAUUAAAGGAAAUAAAUGAAAAACAACGAAAUAAAGUAUAGAUUUUGAAAUAAAUGAAAAACAUUGAACGAAAGAAAGAAGUAUAGAUUUUGUAAAUAAAUGAAAAACAGAACGAAAGAAAGAAGUAUAGAUUUUUUAAAAUAAAUGAAAAACAGAAGAAAGAAGUAUAGAUUUUGAAAUAAAUGAAAAAGAGAACGAAAGAAAGAAGUUUAGAUUUUGAAAUAAAGGAAAAAACAGAAUGAAUGAAAGGAAAUGGUUGACAUAUGUUUUCCCUUUGGUAUUGUUUCCUAUUUCAGUAUUUGGUGUUGUCAUUGACAGCAAUGCCUUAUACGCAAAUGUGACUGACAUGUGCACGUGCUGUUAGCCGACUGACGGUAGUAGUGAUGUCACCACUCCACUGUAAUAUACUAGUCAUCUGCAGCACUGGUAGAUGUUGAUUUACAAGAGACGGUCCAUUUUGACAGUUGUCUUGAUGUUUUAUGAAUAAAAAAAUAUUGGUUAAUUACU